rnacentral:rRNA from 1 species
CAGCCGCCGCGGUAAUACGUAGGUGGCAAGCGUUGUCCGGAAUUAUUGGGCGUAAAGGGCUCGCAGGCGGUUUCUUAAGUCUGAUGUGAAAGCCCCCGGCUCAACCGGGGAGGGUCAUUGGAAACUGGGAAACUUGAGUGCAGAGGAGGAGAGUGGAAUUCCACGUGUAGCGGUGAAAUGCGUAGAGAUGUGGAGGAACACCAGUGGCGAAGGCGACUCUCUGGUCUGUAACUGACGCUGAGGAGCGAAAGCGUGGGGAGCGAACGGGAUUAGAUACCCCCGUAGUCCCUGUCUCUUAUAC